GUGGUCAAGCUAAUAAGGGCUCAUGGUGGAUACCUAGGCACACAGAGGCGAAGAAGGACGUGGUUACCUGCGAAAAGUUCCGGGGAGUUGGAAGCAAACAGAGAGCCGGAAAUAUCCGAAUGGGGCAACCCUGAAAACUGUCUGUUGAAUAUAUAGACAGGAAAGAGCGAACCUGGCGAAUUGAAACAUCUUAGUAGCCAGAGGAAAAGAAAUCAAAAGAGAUUCCCCGAGUAGUGGUGAGCGAAAGGGGAAGAGCCUAAACCAAGGGGUAUACCUCUUGGGGUAGUGGGACAGCAACAUCGAAUCCAGAGACUAGACGAAGCAGCUAAAUACUGCACCAGAGGGGGUGAAAGUCCUGUAGUCGAAAGUUAAAGGAUAGAAGCUGAAUCCCGAGUAGUACGGGGCACGAGAAAUCCCGUAUGAAUCAGCGAGGACCAUCUCGUAAGGCUAAAUACUACUGUGUGACCGAUAGAGAACAAGUACCGCGAGGGAAAGGUGAAAAGAACCCCG
rnacentral:rRNA from 1 species